AUUUUUAUCCCUUUUUUUCUCUCCUUCUCUCCCUCAAUUGAAAAAAAGAAGAGAAAGAAAAGGAACUUGAAGAAGGGAAAGGGAAAGGGAA
rnacentral:ribozyme from 13 species